UACGGGAGGCAGCAGUGGGGAAUAUUGCACAAUGGGCGAAAGCCUGAUGCAGCCAUGCCGCGUGUAUGAAGAAGGCCUUCGGGUUGUAAAGUACUUUCAGUCGUGAGGAAGGUGUUAAGGUUAAUAACCUUAGCAAUUGACGUUAGCGACAGAAGAAGCACCGGCUAACUCCGUGCCAGCAGCCGCGGUAAUACGGAGGGUGCGAGCGUUAAUCGGAAUUACUGGGCGUAAAGGGCACGCAGGCGGUUAAUUAAGUUGGAUGUGAAAUCCCCGGGCUUAACCUGGGAAUGGCAUUCAAGACUGGUUAGCUAGAGUCUUGUAGAGGGGGGUUAGAAUUCCAUGUGUAGCGGUGAAAUGCGUAGAGAUGUGGAGGAAUACCGGUGGCGAAGGCGGCCCCUGGACAAGACUGACGCUCAUGUGCGAAAGCGUGGGGAGCAAACAGGGAUUAGAUACC
rnacentral:rRNA from 1 species